rnacentral:rRNA from 1 species
GUUUCCGUAGGUGAACCUGCGGAAGGAUCAUUACAGUAGUCAUCCGGGUUGCCGCAAGGCCUCCCGGGUAACCUACCACCCUUUGUUUAUUACACUUUGUUGCUUUGGCAGGCCUGCCCUCGGGCUGCUGGCUCCGGCCGGCGAGCGUCUGCCAGAGGACCUAAACUCUGUUUGUCUAUAAUGUCUGAGUACUAUAUAAUAGUUAAAACUUUCAACAACGGAUCUCUUGGUUCUGGCAUCGAUGAAGAACGCAGCGAAAUGCGAUAAGUAAUGUGAAUUGCAGAAUUCAGUGAAUCAUCGAAUCUUUGAACGCACAUUGCGCCCCCUGGUAUUCCGGGGGGCAUGCCUGUCCGAGCGUCAUUACAACCCUCAAGCUCAGCUUGGUGUUGGGCCCCGCCGCCCCGGCGGGCCCUAAAGUCAGUGGCGGUGCCGUCCGGCUCCGAGCGUAGUAAUUCUUCUCGCUCUGGAGGUCCGGUCGUGUGCUUGCCAGCAACCCCCAAUUUUUUUCAGGUUGACCUCGGAUCAGGUAGGGAUACCCGCUGAACU